GAUGAACGCUGGCGGCGUGCCUAAUACAUGCAAGUCGAGCGAACAGACGAGGAGCUUGCUCCUCUGACGUUAGCGGCGGACGGGUGAGUAACACGUGGAUAACCUACCUAUAAGAAUGGGAUAAAUUCGGGAAACCGGAGCUAAUACCGGAUAAUAUAUUGAACCGCAUGGUUCAAUAGUGAAAGACGGUUUUGCUGUCACUUAUAGAUGGCUCCGCGCCGCAUUAGCUAGUUGGUAAGGUAACGGCUUACCAAGGCAACGAUGCGUAGCCGACCUGAGAGGGUGAUCGGCCACCCUGGAACUGAGACACGGUCCAGACUCCUACGGGAGGCAGCAGUAGGGAAUCUUCCGCAAUGGGCGAAAGCCUGACGGAGCAACGCCGCGUGAGUGAUGAAGGUCUUCGGAUCGUAAAACUCUGUUAUUAGGGAAGAACAAAUGUGUAAGUAACUAUGCACGUCUUGACGGUACCUAAUCAGAAAGCCACGGCUAACUACGUG
rnacentral:rRNA from 1 species